rnacentral:rRNA from 1 species
UACGAAGGGGGCGAGCGUUGUUCGGAAUUACUGGGCGUAAAGGGCGCGUAGGCGGCGACCCAAGUCAGAUGUGAAAGUCCUGGGCUUAACCUGGGGACUGCAUUUGAUACUGGGUUGCUUGAAUUCGGGAGAGGGAUGCAGAAUUCCAGGUGUAGCGGUGAAAUGCGUAGAUAUCUGGAGGAAUACCGGUGGCGAAGGCGGCAUCCUGGACCGACAUUGACGCUGAGGAGCGAAAGCUAGGGGAGCAAACGGG